rnacentral:antisense_RNA from 1 species
AAGAGCACGACAUUGCUCACAUUGCUUCCAGUAUUAUUUCAGCCAGCGGAUUCCGCUGGCUUUUUUUA